AACAAGGCGUACCUGCGGACCUGCGGAAGGAUCAUUAAAAAGAGUGUGUACCCCUCUGUAAAAUGAGUGGGUUACCUCCCGUCCUUUGUUGACCUCUUAGGAGGUUAUUUUGAACUUUCUGCUUCGGUGGGGUUGAACCUACCGGAACACCCUCAAAUUCUUAUCAUUUAAAAAUUGUUCAGUCUGAUUUUUGUUAAUAAAAACAAAAAACUUUUAACAAUGGAUCUCAGAUCGGAAGAG
rnacentral:misc_RNA from 1 species